GGCGUGACGUGCCCGGCGGGGCGCGCGGCGCAUUCUGGGAACUGUGGUGCCGGCCAGCGCGCGCUCGGCUCCCGGCAGCGUCCGCCCGGCGGUGAGACCCAGUUCCAAGGCUCCAGCCAUCCUGGAUCUCACUAGAGGCCUGCUGCCCAAUGGCCGUCCCAGUGCCCUGGGAGCAGGAUGGCUUUCUUCGAGUGAUGGUGGAGGAUGCUGAGGCCAGCUUCCCCCAGGUCCAGGAAUCUAACUCUGGUCACACCUCCCACCCGCUUCCGGCACUUCUGCUUUAAGGAGGCCUCCAACCCAUAGGAGGCCCUGGCCCGGCCGCGUGAACUCUGCCACGAGUGGCUGAGGCCCAAGAUGCACUCCAAGGAACAGAUGCUGGAGCUGCAGGUGCUGGAGCUGUUCCUGGGCACGCUGCCCCCCAAGAUCCAGGCCUGGGUGGGGGCCCAGUGCCCCAAGAGUAGCGAGGAGGCUGCUGUGCUGGUGGAGGAUCUGACUCAGGCGCUGGACAAGAGAGACACAGUGGAAGAGGCAGGGUGGCUGCAGGGUCAAGCCCUUGCCAGCUGAUCCUGGGCCUUUGACCCGAGCUGGCUCUUUAGUCCCACACAAGCCCUGCACACCUAGCUGGAGACUGGGUGACACCAGGAGAGGUGACAAGAGCUGGAGAGCGACAGAGGAGCCAACCGCUAGUGGGGUGGGGGGUGCCUCACAGUGGCAAAAAGGCCCCCACCUUCAGCCACCGGCACCUCUGGGAGCCCUUCCUGCAACCCCCACUUGGAGUGGAGCGGUGGUCGUCCUUCUCCGGGUUCCAGAAGGUGUGGCCUUUGAAAGGAUGCAGCUAGCAGACCACACAAGAUCGCGCUACCUGGCUUUCCAGCACCUGCCCUGGGGCUGGGGGGCAGGGAGGGGUGCUGGGGGGGGGCCAGAUUCCGACCUUCCCCGCCCACCGGCACCCUGUCAGCCAGCCCCAUACUCACAUACACUAGUUGUUUUUAUAUAUGCAUAUAUAUUAUGGUUGUAUAUUAAAAAGAGAAAAACAGGA